AAGGGCACCACAAGAACGCGUGGAGCAUGUGGCUUAAUUUGACCCAACGCGGGAAAUCUUACCGGGUCCGGACACACUGAGGAUUGACAGGCGCUUGUGGUUCCACUCUCGGGUGGUUCCACUACAAAUAUGCUAGUCCUUUCAUGAUUGUGUGAUAGGUGGUGCAUGGCCGUUCUUAGUUCGUGGAGUGAUCUGUCUGCUUAAUUGCGUUUCACAAAGGGCUUUGUAAUUUUACCUGCUGCGCGGCACUGACGCCCUCUGGGCUCGUGUCUGUGCACGGUAAUAUAAAAGUCCUGAAGGCAACGAACGUGACCG
rnacentral:rRNA from 1 species